AUUGAACGCUGGCGGCAGGCCUAACACAUGCAAGUCGAGCGGAGCGGCGGACGGGUGAGUAAUGCAUAGGAAUCUGCCUGGUCGUGGGGGAUAACGUCCGGCAACGGGCGCUAAUACCACAUACUAUCAGAUGAGCCUAGGUCGGAUUAGCUAGUGGGUGGGGUAAAGGCAUACCAAGGCGAAGAUACGUACCUGGUCUGAGAGGAUGAUCAGUCACACUGGAAAGGAGAAACGGUCCAGACUCCUACGGGAGGCAGCAGUGGGGAAUAUUGGAUAAUGGGCGAAAGCCUGAUCCAGCCAUGCCGCGUGUGUGAAGAAGGUCUGCGGAUUGUAAAGCACUUUAGGUUGGGAGGCGUUACCAACAGAAUAAGCACCGGCUAACUUCGUGCCAGCAGCCGCGGUAAUAC
rnacentral:rRNA from 1 species